rnacentral:lncRNA from 1 species
CACCAUGAUGGGAACGACGGCUCAGCUGCAAACUGCUUUUAAAGUACUAGAACAGAAACAGCAAAGACAGCCCCCCGGUACACAGUUGCGUACUCUUCGCUGUGGGUUCCUCUAGUUGUGGCAUGUGGGACGCCGCCUCAGCGUGGUCUGACGAGCAGUGCCAUGUCCGCGCCCAGGAUUCGAACCGACGAAACACUGGGCCGCCUGCAGCGGAGCACGCGAACUUAACCACUCGGCCAUGGGGCCAGCCCGGCAAAAUUCAAUUUUUGAUAGUCAUUGUUGAGAUGCGUGGACGUUAGUUGUCUUUAGGGUAUAAGAAACAUAAAAUACGUCUACGGCCAUACCACCCUGAAUGCGCCCGAUCUCGUCUGAUCUUGGAAUCUAAGCAGGGUCAGGCCUGGUUAGUACUUGGACGGAAGAAACAUAAAAUAUGGUAUUAUAGAAAGCACACACAAAACUCUAACUACAGUAAUAACUAAUACUAAAUAAAACACAAAGACCGUGAAAACCUCAUACGAAAUUCCAGAAGAGUCCUUGGGAUGUGGAUAAACUGCGUUAUCUCCUUCAUCAUCUUUUCUCUAUUCUGGAAUGCACCCUGGUGCUUUCUGCUUCCAGAAAGUUCAUUGAAUGAGCUCCUGAAAAUGGCAUUAAAUAAGAGCUUAUAGGAAAGACUUGAUCAUAAGUACAGGGCACAGUAAAGAGGGAGCAGGGGAUCCCGCAAGAAAACCUCCAGUUUGGUGAUUGGUUAGAAAAACUCAAGGGACUCAGCACGGACUUGUCUCCUGGCUGUAAUUUAUUACAGCAGAAGGAUACAAAGCAAAAUCAGCAAAGGGAGAAAGGCACAUGGGGCGAAGUGUGGAGGAACCAGGCACCAGCUUCCAAGAGUCUUCUCCCAGUGGAGACACACAGGACGUGCUGAAUUACUCCAGCAAAAAGAUACAAACCAUGCAUGAAAUGUCUAGUAGGGAAGCUCGUCAGAGACGCAGUGCCCGAUGCUUUCAGUGGACAGGGUCGUGGAGGCACCCUCUGCCUAGCACAUACCAGAACUCCAGACUCCCAGAAAGAAAGCAGGUGUUCAGUGUAAACGACAUUGUUUGUGCAAACAAUUUAGCCACAUUAAACCACACUUAUCAGGGAAUGAUGGAAACACUUCCAAAACCCAAAUUCCCAGACACAAGCCCAGGGCCAAACUUGCAAGCAUGCCUUUCCAGGGAGGGCCUUCUCAGGCCGGCUCUAUUAACUGUUUCCUACACAGACGCAAAAGCAGAUGCCUGCUCCGUGGAGGGACCCAUGCUGGGUCCUUUCAAACAUGUCAUUUUGCUUGCCAUUUUUGUCUCAAACUUUGCACUUUAUCUAGCACCUAUUUUGUUGAAUAAAUGAGUGAGCGUUGCUUCCUUUCCCUCCCCUGCCCUUUUUGCCCUACAGAAACAGGAGCAGUGCUUUAUCCAGAAAACCAUAUUGAAACUCACAGAGAGUUAGUGUAGUAACAGCCAUCACACAGCAGGGGCACCGUAGAGCUCCAGGGCUGCUGGAGGGAAAUGCCGCCCUGGUCUGGGCGAGGCCUCAGCCUGGAGCUGUGGUGGAGAGCUAGCCUGUGUCUCCCAAGGAGUGGCGCUCGGCGGCUGCUCAGCGCAAUUCCAGCUGCUUAGAUUCUAAUGUUUGCUGCAAAAGUCUAAUCUCGCUAUGUUAUAGUUAUAAUUAUCCAGUUUUCAACUUUGAGCUAAACAGAACAUAAGCAAUGUGUCUUUUCAGGUGAUAAAAG